rnacentral:lncRNA from 1 species
UUCUCACUCUCUCCACCAUCGCUCACUCUCCCUGCCAACGUUCUCACUCUCACUCCCACUCCCAAUUUCUUCCCCCUCUAUCUCGCUUUGCAAUCUGUGUGGCCACCAGAAUCCCUCUCUCAAAUUCUAUCCACCCAACUGAAGCAGGGAAGCCCUAAUCCUGUCGCAAACUCUUUCCGAUCAAGUCGCCCACGCCGAUUAUAAAAUGUACACAUUUGUUGAUAUGUAUAAUUUCUAUUGAUAUGUUUUGUUUGUGUGUCCGUAUAUGGCCGGCUUUGUGACUGUUUUCAUCUAUUUUGGAGAAUUUUACUGGAUAUUUACCUUCUUAAUGUGUCUUAUAUGUGAAUAGUUGUAAGAAUCUUAAUUUCUCACAAAUUAUAUGUUCUCACAAAUGGCUACCAACCUCCAUGGAUUUUGUCAUAUUCUAUUUGUUUUUAUUAACUUUGUAAGAUCAAAAGGAUACAAAAAAUUAUUUUGUGCACAGGUCACUGUUUAGGCAAUCGAGAACAAGAAAAAAUUUAAUGUCAAGAUGUGGGGAUUGUGAAAAAUUGAUGAAAAAGUUAAAAGUCAUUACAGUCUUCUGCCUUCAUAUGCAUUGUAAAUGUUUUAGCCUGUCAAUAGCCAUUUUCUGCGAGAUUAGCUUAAGCUGGACUAUAGAUUGACAUUCUCAGUUGUUCAGUGUUGAUUCUUCCUCAGUUACUUGAUGUGUGUGUCCAGCAAGUCUUCCUCAAUUACUUGUAUUGCCGAAAAAUGCAUAAGGGUAUUUUUUUUUUUUAGCCUACUAUAAUAUCUCAUCAUUGAUGAUAUUACUUAGGCUAUUCAUAUUAAUAAUUUCACAAAAUUGGUCCAUAGACUGAUGAUGCUUGUACUUAAAGAGAACAUGAAAACUCACAGCCAAUAUGUUAUCAAUUUCAUUUUGUAUCCUCCAGUUCAAGCAAUCAAUUAGAACAUGAAAACACACAGCCAAUAUGUUAUCAAUAGGUUUAAUCUCAAAGAUCUUAUUGCAGGUAUAAAUUUCAUAUUUUCUUAUUUGUGAUUUCAGAUCUUCAAUUUCUAGACUUUGUUUGAGAAAUCACAUUUUCUUGUCUGUUGAAUUCUAUGUAUGUACAGGUGAAUUAAAUAUAUGGCAGCGGUUUCAGUUCAUCAGCUCGCUCAGUGCAUUACUUGCCAUGCUUGGAGUCCAGACCAUUCUAGUACGUCUUUAAUUCUGAAAAACCCCUCUUUUGAAUUCACAGUUUAUGAAUUUGAUUUGAUUUUAUGAUAUACAAAUCAAUUAAUGAUAAUUCGUUUAUGUUCAAAUCGUAGUGAUAGCAUUAUGCCCAAAUAACAACGAAGUGCAUAUAUAUAGAUUAUCCGAAGACGACAAAUGGGAGAAGAUCCACGUUCUUCAGAAGGUAACUUGAAAUUGAGUUUUUAAUAUCUUUGCUUGUACAGUUGUACGCAAUUGUGAUUUCCCUAUAUGGGCUUCAAUUUUAACAGUUUUAUGGCGAUGCAUCAGUCAGUAAUCAGAACUUUAGAAAAUCAAUAAUCUUUCUAUUUCGAUUCACCAGGAGCAGUUUUGAAAAUAUAUAGAGCUUGAUGAUGGUGUAUUUAGAUUUUUAGCAUGUAAGAUAUAUAUCUUGUCGCCUUGAUGACACUAGAGAGAAUGGGAAGAAGUGGGCUUAUCAGAGGAUAAAUAUAUACAUAGUAUUUUGAUUAAAUGGGGGCAAUAGUAAAAUGUGAUAAAGAAGAUGCUUUGCAAAUUAUUUUGUUUUGUCUUUUUUGUGUAUGUGCGCUAUUUUUUGAAUUAGUAACAAUUCAUGAUGCUAGCCAUGAUGUGAAAUUUAUCAGAAAGAAUUUUGACUUUCAUUUUAUGUUCUAGUGUUUUCGUAGUAGAUGUUAUAUUGAACUUAGUAAUAUUUGAGCGAGUUGUCUUACUUGUCUUUAGUGAGAAAGCUUUUCUGAUUAUCGCUUUGUUUCUUUCUUUUCUUUCCCUUGUGACAUCAUGACCAAAUUGUUUUUGGAGUAGAUUGCUUGAAGUAUGAUUGGUAAAAAGAAUACAUGAAAUCCAUCAGAACUAUGAUGGAAAAAAGUCAGCUUUCUCAUAAAACUUUUUUUUUUUGAGUAUUUUUUCGAUCUUUGGAUCUGGGAAGCACUAAUAUGUUGCUAAUUGUCAUUGCAGCUGAUGAACCACUAAAGACGACUUUCCAGGUUCGGCAUCGUUGCUGAUCUGUUUUGUACAAAUUGAUUUUCUUGAAGUUAAAUUGAUUUGGGCUCUGCUUACUUAUUUUGUUUGUUAAUUCAUUUGUUUAGUGUCUAAAUUUCGGGAAUUUGGAUAUUGGGAUAGUCAAUGUCAAGUAAAAGAAAUUACCUUUUAACUCAGAUUUGAGUUUCUUGGAGAAUGUUACAAAAAAACUCAUAAAUUAUUUCUUGUUUAGACAGGUCGAAUAUUAACUGAUGUACAAAUUUGGACAUGGUGUGUGUUGGGAGGGGGGUAUACUUGAGUUUCUGAGAGAUUCAAAGUUGGAGUUCUGAUGCAAAUGCGAUCUUC